CUCUCCGGGUCCCGCGGCGCCCCGGCGGAUAAUGGCCCAGCGCUCCGGACCCGCUCCUGCGGCUCCUGGAGGUCACUGCGGUGCCAGGGUCCUGAAUCAUGAUGUUGGAAUGUCUGAAGCUGGUGAUGCGAGUGCAGCAUUCUCUUCACCUGUCUCUGCUGGACUAAAAAUGGCACACUCCUCAGAGGAGGCACAGUGACGGGGGGUUGCACUGGACCAUAAGCGCUGGAGUCUGGAUUCAGCCGUGAUGGUAGCCAAGGGGCCGUCUGAUCAGCAAGCCAGUGGAGGGUGGUUUUUUUGCAAAGAGCGAAGCUGAAUGCAGGUUCCGCUGGGCAAGUGAAACGUUAUUAAACCCCAUGCGCUGCUCUGUCCAUUGGGGUGAGCUGCUCCCAGCCUAACCCCCCAGCGUCCCCCGUUUUAUUGAUGGGCCAGCAAUACUCCCAGCCUAACCCCCCAGCGUCCCCCGUUUUAUUGAUGGGCCAGCAAUACCAGUCCCCUGAUUCCAUGCUCACUGAUCAGGGGCAUCAUCAACCCUGUCCCCAUCUCAUCCUACGCUCUCCCAGCCCCGAACACCAGCCCAGCUGCAGAAUAACGCCUCCCUGUAAGAUCCAAUUUACCGUGCGCUGCGGCCACCGGGCAGAGACACUGCGAGAAGAGAAUCCCGUUCAUUUCUCUGUCGCUUCUGGCUCGGGCUUGUCACAGGCCCAUUGGGCUCAGUACAGCACUGGGCAGCUGGUUGGAUCAGCAGGUUGGGCUGGCUCUCGCAAGGUCUAUAUCCAGUUUGGGGGGGUCACAGGGGCAGACGAGAGCAGACACUUGCUGCUUCUUUGACACAUGCUGCUAUUUAUCUCCUGUGCGGAUGCUCAUCAGGCCUCAUAAGCAGAGGACACACACGGUCCAGCCUGUUCAGGUGUUUCCCCACCUGCAGCCGCAUGCUUUUGAAGUAUGCUCCCGUUGAAGCAGCUGGGAUGGUUUUCAAGACGGGUUGUUUUUCCUAAAAGAUCUGUUCCCCCCAAGAAUGAUUUCAGGGCAUGUUAUCCAGGAGGUCAGACUAGAUUACAGUGGUCCCUCCCAGCCUGGGAAUCUACGACACUCGGAGGCCGGGGGGAGGAGAAUCAGGCCCCGGUGCAGUGAGAGAACAAGCUGUAUUUCUCAGAUCGGUGCUCUGCCCUGUGACUCUGGAAAGAGAGAGAUGGGCCGGCGCAAAGGGAAUUGCAGCCGUGUUCCCCAAACCGGUGAGCGGCGCUUUGGAAGAUACAAGGUCGAGUGCAAUGGGCAUGGGAUAGGGAGUCCGCUCCCAGAUCGGGCAGGGAGCGGAGCUGUGAGAUAGCUGAGCGAAGGGUUCACGCCUCUGUCCCGGCAGCUGUUCCUGGGCAGAACGGAACAGCUCAGGGAAAAUGGCUUAUGCGUGGAACAUAAAGGAGGCUGGGAGUGCAGAGGUGAGGGCCACCCCUGCUGUCUCUGGGCUUUCCCCCCAGCUCCAUUCUGGCACCUCCCCUGUUAGCAAUGUCCGUAGCUUCACGGCGGAGCUCAGAGAGCCUGAAUCUCGGGGCUGGGGUUGCCAGCUCUGCUCCGCAGG